GGGCCCGCACAAGCGGUGGAGUAUGUGGUUUAAUUCGAUGCAACGCGAAGAACCUUACCAGGGCUUAAAUGUAGUCUGACAGGGGUGGAAACACCCCCUCCUUCGGGCAGAUUACAAGGUGCUGCAUGGUUGUCGUCAGCUCGUGCCGUGAGGUGUCAGGUUAAGUCCUAUAACGAGCGCAACCCCUGCCGUUAGUUGCCAGCAUGUAAUGAUGGGAACUCUAACGGGACUGCCGGUGCAAACCGCGAGGAAGGUGGGGAUGACGUCAAAUCAUCACGGCCCUUACGUCCUGGGCUACACACGUGCUACAAUGGCCGGUACAGAGGGCAGCCACACCGCAAGGUGGAGCGAAUCCUUAAAACCGGUCUCAGUUCGGAUCGGGGUCUGCAACUCGGCCCCGUGAAGCUGGAAUCGCUAGUAAUCGGAUAU
rnacentral:rRNA from 1 species